UCCUGCACCUAAUCAAUAGUUUGCUGUUCACGACUCCUCCAGCACCGGCUUGGUCUCUCUGGUAUUCUGCCUGCAACAUGCAGUUUAAUCUCCUCAAAAGAUAUCUGUUGGGAACAGGACAAUAGCCCCGGCAUGGAGGUGUGGUGACAGCCCCUUUCUCCUGAAGCCACUGCAUGUGCCAGGACCAAGCUGUUCAGCACUGCUGGAGCAAUAGAAACAAGCAUUUGGGUACUUCCUCUACCUCCCCCUGCCCAGCUGUGCCUCGUCAGGAGAUGUCAGACCUGCAAGCUGAAAUGUCA